UUUUUAUUAGGGUUUCACCUUUCAUCUAAUAGCCGCCAAUCCGUCAUUUACUCCCUCUCUCUCUCCUCUCCUCCCCGUCAUUCACCUCUUUCUCUCAUUUCGAACUUAGUCCUUCUCUCCUCUCCUCCAUCAAUCUUAGAGAAAAAAUGGUUAAAUUGGGGGUUUUGAUUUGCUUUAUAGAGUUUAUUGACGGGGGUUUUGAACUUGCGCAACAAUUUCUGGGAGCGUGUUGUUGUGGUUUGUUGCGAAGAGAUUGCACUUUCUGGUGGUCUUGUUAGGCAGAAGAUGAAGUAUCUUUGUUUUCUUCGUAAGAGGAUGAACACCAAACCUUCUCAUUCUAAGAUCUCCUAGUGUACUGUUCGAGGCGGAAGUAGAAAAAUGACGCCCACAUGGCUGUUAGGGAUUUGAAUCAAGCUCAGAAAAUUAGUUCAUCUUCAUUUAAAGCACGUUUCUGCAUGUCUGAAGCUCUAUCUCAGAUUUUGCUCUUGCAGCUCAGUCUCUGGAUCCCUCAAGAGCCGAAGCGUUGGAUAGUAUAGAAAGUAUACGUAAGGAGCUUUCAGCAGGAGGUGAAGUUGGAAGUGAAGCUUCCUUGGUUGCAUUGUACACGGCAGAUAACAUGUUGGACUUAGACACUUUUGAUGCCAACUCCGAGCUUAUGAUUAUGGGUGGGCUGAAGCGUGGUGUAACGCUGCCAUCAUUGGUUCGAUGAAGGGAAAGCAAGUUGGCUGAGGCUGCCAAAACACUAGAAGUGAAUGUGGGAAGCCAGGAACAGCACCUGAUGCUGACCUUGGUCCAGUCGUGAGCAAGUAGCCGAAGCAGAGGCACAAAUAGUAUGGUGUUUAUCACCUGCCACCUGCUAGGCUGGAGCUAAAGGGGAAUGUCCUCAAAAGUAGCUUGGUACAAGAAACUCUUGGGUGUUUGAGAAAAGGAGGAUAGAACCAGACUUAGUAUAUGCAAAAGCUCCAAAAUUUCUUGAUGAAGUGAAGCAGCUUGUGCUCAUGAAGAGUGCCCGUAGCCACUAUUUAGUAACUGUUUGGAAGCCACCUAAUGCAGGCUAGUAUAAGCUGUUAUGACUUGCAGACCUCAGACAGCUUAGUAUAGCAGCAAUUACACAUCAUUAUGUCUCUUUUUCUUAUAUAUCUUGCUUUUGGUUGAAUUAUUAAAGGAAUUAAAUGGAAUUGGAGUAAUUUCUUAUGUUUCGUUGGAAGCUUGGAAUGUUAGACUAAUUGUUGGAUAAUAAUUCGUGGGUUGAUUAGCAUAUUUAGUACUUUUGUUACAGAUGAAUUGGGUUACGAAUUGUAUGACAAUUGAUGUAUUUUAUGUUUCUAAGUUGGAAAUAUGUUUAUUUUGAUGAUUCUGCUAAAUGAUGAAUGUGAUUAUUUUUCAGGUUGUCUUGAAGAUUAAUUGGAGGUAACUUGAAGAUGGUGUUUGGAGGCAGCCUCGGAAUUGAGAUCAAAGUUGCAGCUACUCGGAAAAAUGGUGGAAGAUGUAAAUUAUUCAACACACUAUUUUAGAGGAAAAUAAUUUAAAUCUAAUGGUAGUCUUAUGUAAACUUGUUUAAUUAUUAUUACAAUUGAGAUUUCCUUUGUUUUAGUUAUUAGGAAAUAAUUAAAGCAGCUUUUGCGUGCUGAUUGUAUAUUACUCGGUAAUUAUUAAGUGUGUA